GUAAGAAAGUUUGGAUAUUUCAAAGGAUGAUUGUUACGACGAUGAAAAAGAUGACACGUUGUUGUUGACGUUGUUGUUGUUGUUGUUGUUGUUGUCGUUGUUGUCGUUGUUGUUCUUGUUGUUGUUGUUGUUGUUGUUGUUGUUGUACCU